rnacentral:lncRNA from 1 species
UUUAUUGGACUUAAAUAUUUCUGCUUGGAAAUCAGAGUUUGUGACUGAAUUUGAAUUUAAAAAAUCAGAAGAGGGGGCCUGGGUGGCUCAGUCAGUUAAGCACCUGACUCUUGAUUUCGGCUCAGGUCAUGAUCUCAGGGUCAUGGGACUGAGCUCCACGUUGUUGGGCUCCAUGCUGGGUAUGGAGCCUGAUGUAAGAUUUUCUCUCUCUCCUUCUUCCUCUGCCCCCUUCCACACCCUCUCCCUCUGCACAUGUGUGUGUGCACUCUCUCUCUCAAAAAAUAAGACUAACCUUUAUUAAGAGCAAAUAUUAUAGACCAAUUUGUUUUGCUCAUGAUAUUCUCCAAUUUUGAAAAUGUCCAGAAUCCUAAUUUUAAAACUGCAUGUUGUAAAAAGUAGGUUACUGGUAAGAAAGCACCUACAAUUACUCAUUAUAUAUCACACUACUUGAUUUGGGGUUUUAGUAAUUGCUAAAAGUGGUAAUCACUAAUUAAUCAUAGUCAAAUUAAUAAAUGCCCAAUUACACUUCUAAAUCAUGAUUUAAAUAGAUUUACAGUAAGGACUAUAGAUAUUACCUAUGUAUUCCUCUAUCUGGCAGAGUUCCAUAUUAAGAAUGAGCUUUUACACCUGUAACAUUUAAGGUGGCAGAGUGAGUUGUACUUUUAACCUUUGCUCUCAUUUAAGCUAUUGCCCUGGAAGUUACUAGACAUGAGCUUUGCACUAACAAGUUCCACACUUGAACAAAGCCGAGUAUGAACGAGCAUUUGUGGCUAAACAUAAAAAGAAGUUGGUGUGGGGAGGGGUGGGUGUGAGUUUCAGGUCUUGAUAUUUUCUACUUUGCCCAUCAGCCUGAGUUCCUUAUUUCCUUUCUACCUGAAUUGUUUGCCGGAGAGAAGAUGACAAAUAAUGGAACUGAUAGUAACUUUCCAGUGAGUAAGAACAGUCCUUCUAUCUGAGAGGAAGAAUGUCAGGUCUGCAAAAGCCAAAUGAUCCAAAGUACCCAAGAGGAAAAACACUCAAUGUGACUCCAGCACCUUGGGUCUCCUCCCAAACAAGCCCUGUGCUGCUAUCAGUUUUGAUAAGCAGGCUUUCCUCACCCAUGAGGCUAUAACAUGAUAAUGUCAUUCAAUAACCCUCACACCCUUUCCUGCUAUUUGUCCAGCACAGGAAACUGAGGAUUUUCUUGUCGUGUGGACACAGCGGAAAUAUCUAGCCAGCAAAUACUGACCCUUGCAUGCAAACAGACCCAUAUCCUCUUUCCGCCUGACAACUUCCUUCCUGCAUGCUAAGAACAAUCUACCCUUCAUUUUUUUUUUUUUUCCGGACUUUAUACUGACUACUCUGAAAGCCCUAGGGGAGACAAAUGUAAACUUCCACUCAACAGCUGGACUCUCAGACAAAUAGGCUGACAUUAAACACGGUUGAAGGCACUGAAGAUGCCCUCUAACUAUGGUGAUAUUGUAUGAAAACAGUGUCUACACAUCACAAACAGACAUGUGCUUUGGCAAUUGCCUGAAGAAUUUGGCCUGUCUGGACAACUGCACUAGAUAUUUCAGAUUGGAAUCUAAGAUAUUUAAAAUUACAUGCCAGAAAGCUCUUUUUAGCUAUAUUGCGAACUGGACCUUCACACUUGGGAAUUUAAGACAUAGACAUUUAGGCCUGGAGAGGCAGACGACAUUAGCAGCUAAAUCCACUUUGCUCAAUCCAGCAGCAAAGUGAGCUUGCUAGAGAUAUUAAAAAUCACUAUUCAUCUUUGAGUUAGGUAGUAAGACCUGGUGAGGUUAUUUUGCCAAGUUUAUCAUACUUUACACCUCAAGCAAGGACAAAGGGCUUAUCAAAUUUCUUUCUAAAAUACUGAAAACUUAGGCCUGAUAGUCAAAACCCUGGUGUACAUUGGCUACAUUUAAUUAUCAGAAAAACUUCUUGAUACUCAAAAGACAAAGAAAUCAAGCUCUGAAAUCUAACCCAAAUUUUAAAAAAAAUUAGGCAU